rnacentral:rRNA from 1 species
CUCAGGCGUUGUUGGGUAGGGGAGCGUUCUGUAAGCCUGUGAAGGUGGCCUGUGAGGGUUGCUGGAGGUAUCAGAAGUGCGAAUGCUGACAUAAGUAACGAUAAAGCGGGUGAAAAGCCCGCUCGCCGGAAGACCAAGGGUUCCUGUCCAACGUUAAUCGGGGCAGGGUGAGUCGACCCCUAAGGCGAGGCCGAAAGGCGUAGUCGAUGGGAAACGGGUUAAUAUUCCCGUACUUGGUGUUACUGCGAAGGGGGGACGGAGAAGGCUAUGUUGGCCGGGCGACGGUUGUCCCGGUUUAAGCGUGUAGGUGUGUGUUCCAGGUAAAUCCGGUUCACUUUAACACUGAGGCGUGACGACGAGGCACUACGGUGCUGAAGCAACAAAUGCCCUGCUUCCAGGAAAAGCCUCUAAGCAUCAGGUAACAUCAAAUCGUACCCCAAACCGACACAGGUGGUCAGGUAGAGAAUACCAAGGCGCUUGAGAGAACUCGGGUGAAGGAACUAGGCAAAAUGGUGCCGUAACUUCGGGAGAAGGCACGCUGACACGUAGGUGAAGUGAUUUACUCAUGGAGCUGAAGUCAGUCGAAGAUACCAGCUGGCUGCAACUGUUUAUUAAAAACACAGCACUGUGCAAACACGAAAGUGGACGUAUACGGUGUGACGCCUGCC